UGACCAGGAAAGCUAGUGCCAUCCCCUGGGG
rnacentral:piRNA from 1 species